rnacentral:rRNA from 1 species
ACCUCCUUCGGGAGGGGAUUAGUGGCGAACGGGUGAGUAACACGUGGGCAAUCUGCCCUGCACUCUGGGACAAGCCCUGGAAACGGGGUCUAAUACCGGAUACUGAUCAUCUUGGGCAUCCUUGGUGAUCGAAAGCUCCGGCGGUGCAGGAUGAGCCCGCGGCCUAUCAGCUUGUUGGUGAGGUAAUGGCUCACCAAGGCGACGACGGGUAGCCGGCCUGAGAGGGCGACCGGCCACACUGGGACUGAGACACGGCCCAGACUCCUACGGGAGGCAGCAGUGGGGAAUAUUGCACAAUGGGCGCAAGCCUGAUGCAGCGACGCCGCGUGAGGGAUGACGGCCUUCGGGUUGUAAACCUCUUUCAGCAGGGAAGAAGCGAAAGUGACGGUACCUGCAGAAGAAGCGCCGGCUAACUACGUGCCAGCAGCCGCGGUAAUACGUAGGGCGCGAGCGUUGUCCGGAAUUAUUGGGCGUAAAGAGCUCGUAGGCGGCUUGUCACGUCGGUUGUGAAAGCCCGGGGCUUAACCCCGGGUCUGCAGUCGAUACGGGCAGGCUAGAGUUCGGUAGGGGAGAUCGGAAUUCCUGGUGUAGCGGUGAAAUGCGCAGAUAUCAGGAGGAACACCGGUGGCGAAGGCGGAUCUCUGGGCCGAUACUGACGCUGAGGAGCGAAAGCGUGGGGAGCGAACAGGAUUAGAUACCCUGGUAGUCCACGCCGUAAACGGUGGGCACUAGGUGUGGGCGACAUUUCCACGUCGUCCGUGCCGCAGCUAACGCAUUAAGUGCCCCGCCUGGGGGAGUACGGCCGCAAGGCUAAAACUCAAAGGAAUUGACGGGGGGCCCGCACAAGCGGCGGAGCAUGUGGCUUAAUUUCGACGCAACGCGAAGAACC